AAGGAAGAAGCCAGGGAGAAGCGACACAAGGAAAGAAUGGAGAAAGCUGCAAGAAUCGAAAGCCUUUUGGAAAAGUGCAUCAGUGAAAACAAACCAGCUUGAAGCUGUGGGCGUGUGAGGCUUCUGUAAUUUAGUAUAAAAUGGGAGGAAGUGCCUUUCGUUCCUGGUCCAACGUUUCGCCUAUUUAUUUUUUACUUUGUACCUGCUUGAAGCAAAUAAAUAUGAUCUCCCUUAUUUUCAAUAAAUACAAUAUAUAAAACAAAAGAAAAA